rnacentral:rRNA from 1 species
UACGUAGGUGACAAGCGUUGUCCGGAUUUACUGGGCGUAAAGAGCGCGCAGGCGGUCGUUCAAGUCGAGUGUGAAAGCCCCCGGCUCAACUGGGGAGGGUCACUCGAUACUGAUCGACUCGAAGGCAGGAGAGGGAAGUGGAAUUCCCGGUGUAGUGGUGAAAUGCGUAGAUAUCGGGAGGAACACCAGUGGCGAAGGCGACUUCCUGGCCUGUUCUUGACGCUGGGGCGCGAAAGCUAGGGGAGCAAACGGG